ensembl:snRNA U2 U2 spliceosomal RNA
AUCGCUUCUCAGCCUUUUGGCUAAGAUCAAGUGUAGAAUGUUUGUUCUUAUUUGAAAUCAAAACUAACAUUCCUAAUAAGUUAAAUAUCUGCACAGAAUUGCUCUUGUGAGAAUAGUCUUUGAUAUCAUGCCAAUGGACUAGAUUGAGGAAUGUUAUCACAAACAAU